rnacentral:misc_RNA from 1 species
UACAUGUGGGGCAAGCGUUGUUCGGAAUUACUGGGCAUAAAGGGUGCGUAGGUGGCGCUGUGCGUCUGUGGUGAAAGUCUUCGGCCCAACCGGAGAAUAGCCGCGGAUACGGCAGCGCUUGAGUGCAUUAGGGGUAGGGGGAACGAGCAGUGUAGCGGUGAAAUGCGUAGAUAUUGCUCGGAAGGCCAGUGCCGAAGGGGCCCUACUGGGAUGCAACUGACACUGAGGCACGAAAGCGUGGGGAGCAAACAGG